GACGAACGCUGGCGGCGUGCCUAACACAUGCAAGUCGAGCGGGAACCUCAGGAGGGGUAACCCUCCUGAGGGGAGAGCGGCGAACGGGUGAGUAACACGUGGGCAACCUGCCCCGGACACCGGGAUAACCCAGGGAAACCUGAGCUAAUACCGGAUACUCCGGCGAGAUCGCAUGGUCGCGCCGGGAAAGCUCCGACGGUCCGGGAUGGGCCCGCGGCCUAUCAGCUUGUUGGUGGGGUAACGGCCCACCAAGGCGACGACGGGUAGCUGGUCUGAGAGGACGGCCAGCCACACUGGGACUGAGACACGGCCCAGACUCCUACGGGAGGCAGCAGUGGGGGAUCUUGCGCUAAUGCGCGAAAGCGUGACGCAGCGACGCCGCGUGGGGGAUGAAGGCCCUCGGGUUGUAAACCCCUUUCGGCAGGGACGAAGCGAAAGUGACGGUACCUGCAGAAGAAGUCCCGGCUAACUACGUGCCAGCAGCCGCCGUAAAAC
rnacentral:rRNA from 1 species